GUUUUAAUAAUUUAAUAAAAAUAUUGGUCUUGUAAAUCAAAAAUAAGCUUACCUUUUAAAACU
rnacentral:tRNA from 1 species